rnacentral:rRNA from 1 species
GGGCCCGCACAAGCAGCGGAGCGUGUGGUUUAAUUCGAUGCAACGCGAAGAACCUUACCAGGGCUUGACAUCCCGCGCUCAGCCCGCGAAAGCGGGCGCCCGCGAGGGGAGCGGGACAGGUGCUGCAUGGCUGUCGUCAGCUCGUGCCGUGAGGUGUUGGGUUAAGUCCCGCAACGAGCGCAACCCCCGGGCCUAGUUAGGUUCCUAGGCCGACUGCCGGGACCAACCCGGAGGAAGGUGGGGAUGACGUCAAGUCAGCACGGCCCUCACGUCCUGGGCCACACACACGCUACAAUGGCCGGUACAGCGGGCGGUGCGAAGCCGCGAGGCGGAGCGAAUCCCUGCAAAGCCGGCCCCAGUGCAGAUCGGGGGCUGCAACUCGCCCCCGUGAAGUCGGAGUUGCUAGUAACCGCGGGUCAGCACACCGCGGUGAAUACGUUCCCGGGCCUU